rnacentral:rRNA from 1 species
GACAGAGGGUGCAAACGUUGCUCGGAAUUACUGGGCGUAAAGCGCGUGUAGGUGGUCACGCAAGUCAGGUGUGAAAGCCCAGGGCUCAACCCUGGAAGUGCACAUGAUACUACGUGGCUGGAGUACUGAAGAGGAGAGCGGAAUUCCCGGUGUAGAGGUGAAAUUCGUAGAUAUCGGGAAGGAACACCAGUGGCGAAGGGCGGCUCUCUGGGCAGAUACUGACACUGAGACGCGAAAGCGUGGGUAGCAACAGG